UGCUUUAAUGGCCAGCGGCCUCCGGUUACCUGCUCCACGCGUAUAAAAAUCAUAAACAGGUCGCCAAGAUUUAAAGAGCAAUUCGGCACGACCAGUCACAGUCGAAACUUUCUCAACUUUACAACACGACUGUUUUUCAUCCACAUAGAGCAAACGAAAAGUGCUUAGAUCGCUAUCUCAAGAUGACUCAUCUCGUUGUUCUGGUAGUCAUGGUAAUCUUGGUUGUCUCCGUGCAAGGCGAUCCCGAAUGUUCUGGGUGCAUGGUUAAAGGCACGUG